rnacentral:rRNA from 1 species
CCUACGGGAGGCAGCAGUGGGGAAUAUUGGUCAAUGGGCGCUAGCCUGAACCAGCCAAGUAGCGUGAAGGAUGACUGCCCUCUGGGUUGUAAACUUCUUCUAUAUGGGAAUAAAGUGCAGUAUGUAUACUGCUUUGCAUGUACCUUAUGAAUAAGAAUCGGCUAACUCCGUGCCAGCAGCCGCGGUAAUACGGAGGUUCCGAGCGUUAUCCGGAUUUAUUGGGUUUAAAGGGAGCGUAGGCGGGUUGUUAAGUCAGUUGUGAAAGUUUACGGCUCAACCGUAAAAUUGCAGUGUAUACUGGCAUCCUUGAGUACAGUAGAGGUAGGCGGAAUUCGUGGUGUAGCGGUGAAAUGCUUAGAUAUCACGAAGAACUCCGAUUGCGAAGGCAGCCUGCUGGACUGUAACUGACGCUGAUGCUCGAAAGUGUGGGUAGCAAACAGGAUUAGAUACCCCGGUAGUC